rnacentral:rRNA from 1 species
AGUGGCGAACGGGUGAGUAACACGUGAGUAACCUGCCCCUGACUCUGGGAUAAGCGUUGGAAACGACGUCUAAUACUGGAUAUGACUGCCGGCCGCAUGGUCUGGUGGUGGAAAGAUUUUUUGGUUGGGGAUGGACUCGCGGCCUAUCAGCUUGUUGGUGAGGUAAUGGCUCACCAAGGCGACGACGGGUAGCCGGCCUGAGAGGGUGACCGGCCACACUGGGACUGAGACACGGCCCAGACUCCUACGGGAGGCAGCAGUGGGGAAUAUUGCACAAUGGGCGAAAGCCUGAUGCAGCAACGCCGCGUGAGGGAUGACGGCCUUCGGGUUGUAAACCUCUUUUAGUAGGGAAGAAGCGUAAGUGACGGUACCUGCAGAAAAAGCACCGGCUAACUACGUGCCAGCAGCCGCGGUAAUACGUAGGGUGCAAGCGUUGUCCGGAAUUAUUGGGCGUAAAGAGCUCGUAGGCGGUUUGUCGCGUCUGCUGUGAAAUCCCGAGGCUCAACCUCGGGCUUGCAGUGGGUACGGGCAGACUAGAGUGCGGUAGGGGAGAUUGGAAUUCCUGGUGUAGCGGUGGAAUGCGCAGAUAUCAGGAGGAACACCGAUGGCGAAGGCAGAUC